rnacentral:lncRNA from 1 species
GGGACCCCAGAGGAGAGCCCAGGGGCCCCCCACAGUGGUGGAACACACCUCUUAUAGUGUUUAUACCCCCCAUGAGUUGUGGGAAUUAGGUAGGCAAUGCAGGCAGCACCCAGGGGAGCCCCUCCCAGCCCUGAUUACUCUGUCUUUGGGAUGAGGGGGCUGACAGCAUUUCUUGCUCUGCCUCCGAGAUGGAGAAGCUGGCCUCUAUCACAACUCACCCCUCCCUUCGUCAGCAGCUGCAGCUGUGCCAAUGCUUGGCACAAGGGCAAGGUGAGCACAUGUUAAUCAAGUGGCUGAUGGCAGCCAUACAGACUGUUUGGCAUGAUGCCGGUGAGACACCAGAAACUGUGAGUAAAUGGCAGUCAUACACUGAUUUGGUGCAGGUACUCUGGGAGAUGGGUGUGCAGCCAAGCAGGCUAUUUAGCAGGCACAAGCCCCAUGGUAGUGGGCCAGGGGUGCCCGUUUAAACUAGAUGUGCGUGUGACCACAGAUAGUUUCUGUGAGGGCCUAUGGUAGCACACGGAGCACCCGAGUACGUCAGUAGGCUUUUGGUGCCAAUUAUGGAAGGGAGCUGAGCUCUGUAAACUUCCUCUAAAUAGAUGGGAUAUUAAUGCAAGAAAAAAGCAUUUCUAUGAAAGCUAAGCUUCUUUGGAAAGAUUUAAAUACAAGUUGUUAAUAAGCAUUGUUAUCAAAUUAGGAAUGGACAGAACAUCUGCAAAAAGUUAAAUCAUAAAAGUCUAGGAGAAUUCUGCAUUAAGAUUUUUUUUUGUUUCAUCUAAAGAAAUCAGAUGUUACAUGAUGGCUGUGGUUUAUACAAGAAAGACAAUAGAGGACUCUUAACAACAGGCUCAUGGUAGAAGCAGCACCCUGGACUCCAGAUUAAUACAUUGACUGGAACUAGUUCACAGACCCAAAGAUGCUUGAAUGAAGGAAAGGCAGCCUUCCCUGGAGGAAGAACUCAACAGCGCUUCCACAAAUAGUACAUUUUUACUGAUUAUCAAAGAAGGACUGUGACUAAACUAGAAGGAGAAUUAACACUAUCCAGAGAUGGCUACAGUUCUGAAGGGAAACUUUGAGUCUCCACCUUUCCAAGAGUGGAUAAUCCUCUCUCCACAACUUGAUAAUGCACAAACUGCAAAUCUUCUGGUACUCACUGCUGCAAGCAAACUUGAAGUCUUUCUGAGCCUGACUCUUCAUUCCUGCCUUGUGUGACCCAGGGAUGGAGGACUGCCCUCCCAACUCAUUAUCCUCUUUGCCCAGGAGCUCCAUCCUGUUGCCAUCUGCUAAAAUCCUCAGCCCACCUGCAUAGUGAACAGCAUUCAUUGUUUUCCAGAAAUGUGCAAGAACCACAGUCUCCCCCAAGACUGAAGAUCUGCUUCAUCGACAUGGCAGGGAACGUGGCUGAACACAGAGGACUCAUUUUUGCAGCUUCCCUACCAGAGAGAGAGAGACACCCUUUUUACCCGAGUUCUGAGUUGAAAUAUCCUAGAAGAGAACUCUGAUUGGCCUGGCUUGGGUCACAUGCCUGUCCUUGAGUUGAUCAACUGUGAUUAGUUAUAAGUGUACUCAUUAGUAACUUCCCCUGGAACCUUAGAUUUGAUGUGGGGUAAGACUUCCAAAAACAAACAAAAAAAUAAAACAGAAGAAUGCUAUUUCUGGAGAAAAGAAUCUGAAAAAUAGAUUAACAAUAUAAAGGCAGCACAAGUAGCAAAGAGUUAAUAAGCUGUAAUUUCAGGAGCACUCCCUUAUUGUCUCAUAAUUCCUUGGACUACCUCCAAUAGUUAAGAAUCUUAGUAAUAACACUCUGAAAAAGGCAACUUGUGAAACUCACUUGAGUUUAAAUGACUGGUAGGCCAUCUCUUUUCUGAGAUCAGAACCUUUUGUUUGCAGAGGGAGAAAGAAAUAGGAUGGAGAAGGCAGACUUAGAGUGUCUGGAGGAAGUAGGAUGCAGGAAUUCUAUGCCACUGCCACUCCUUUGUCGUUUCUUGGUACCAAUUUCUCCCUGUCAAGCUGGUAGCGUUACUGAGGUAUCAAUACCACCAAUAGGGCCAUAGAGGUUGCAUAUCUCCAUCACUCACAUUAUACCCUAUAGAUUUCUAGAAUGUUUUACAACGUCAUUGUGAAUGGUGGCUUCUGGAGUUAAAUAAUGGGGCAGUCUACAUUGAUUAUCAAAUGUGCAUACUUGCUUCAUUUCAAAAGCUUUAUUUUAUUCUUAUUAUGUAUAUAAUACAUACAUCUG